rnacentral:rRNA from 1 species
UUCCGGUUGAUCCUGCCGGAGGCUACCGCUAUUGGAGUUCGAUUAAGCCAUGCGAGUCCAGAGCUUUCGGAGCUCGGCGUACCGCUCAGUAACACGUGGGUAACCUAACCUAUGCAGGGGAAUAACCUCGGGAAACUGAGAAUAAUGCCCCAUAGUCCACUACGCCUGGAACGGUGAGUGGAUGAAAGCUCAGGCGGCAUAGGAUGGGCCUGCGGCGUAUCAGGUUGUAGGGGGUGUAAAGUACCCUCUAGCCCUCUACGCGUACGGGUGUUGGGAGACAUAGCCCGGAGAUGGAUUCUGAGACACGAAUCCAGACCCUACGGGGUGCAGCAGGCGCGAAAACUUGGCAAUGCGAGCAAUCGUGACCAGGGAACUCCAAGUGGCUGGGGUAAGACCCAGUCUUUUCAGAACUCUUCAAAGGUUUUAGAAUAAGGGGUGGGUAAGGACGGUGCCAGCCGCCGCGGUAAUACCGGCGCCUCAAGUGGUAGUCGCUUUUAUUGGGCCUAAAACGUCCGUAGCCGGUCUGAUACAUUCGUGGGUAAAUCAACCAGCUUAACUGGUUGAAUUCUGCGAGGACGGUCAGACUUGGGACCGGGAGAGGUGUGGGGUACGCUCAGGGUAGGGGUAAAAUCCUGUCAUCCUGAGCGGACCACCUGUUGCGAAGGCGCCACACUAGAACGGAUCCGACGGUCAGGGACGAAGCCUAGGGGCACGAACCGGAUUAGAUACCCGGGUAGUCCUAGGUGUAAACGCUGUGGACUUGAUGUUGGAGGAGCUCCGAGCUCUUUCAGUGUCGAAGCGAAGGUGAUAAGUCCACUGCCUGGGAAGUACGGUCGCAAGGCUGAAACUUAAAGGAAUUGGCGGGGGAGCACCGCAACCUGAGGAUUGUGCGGUUUAAUUGGAGUCAACGCCGGA